AUUGAACGCUGGCGGCAUGCUUUACACAUGCAAGUCGAACGGUAACAGGUUAAGCUGACGAGUGGCGAACGGGUGAGUAAUGCAUCGGAACGUGCCCGGUCGUGGGGGAUAACGCAGCGAAAGCUGCGCUAAUACCGCAUACGAUCUGAGGAUGAAAGCGGGGGACCGUAAGGCCUCGCGCGAUCGGAGCGGCCGAUGUCAGAUUAGGUAGUUGGUGAGGUAAAGGCUCACCAAGCCAACGAUCUGUAGCUGGUCUGAGAGGACGACCAGCCACACUGGGACUGAGACACGGCCCAGACUCCUACGGGAGGCAGCAGUGGGGAAUUUUGGACAAUGGGCGAAAGCCUGAUCCAGCAAUGCCGCGUGCAGGAAGAAGGCCUUCGGGUUGUAAACUGCUUUUGUACGGAGCGAAAAGGCUCUCUCUAAUACAGGGGGCUCAUGACGGUACCGUAAGAAUAAGCACCGGCUAACUACGUGCCAGCCGCCGCGGUAA
rnacentral:rRNA from 1 species